AACAUUUUAUUCUUUUUCCUAACCCUAACUUAACCCUAAGAGACCGCCUCCUUCACUUCACCUUUCUUUCUAUUGUUCAGACAAACACAGCCCAUCUCCCUCUCUCUUUUGUAUGAAUUUCCUAACCCUAGUAGACAUAAGGAUGCCGCCUCCCUCCUCUCUCUCUCUCUCUCUCUCUCUUUCUCUGUAUCAGCUUUGCACUUUCCCUUACCUGACGCGCACACACACCACCAUUGGCAAGUUUUUCUACCAUAAAAACUCAAACAAGGGUGCAAAUAAGGCAAGGGCCGGCGACGGUACUCUAUCCCACGACUCUCUUUGCUCUCUCAUUUGGCACUCAACAACAAUCUCCCUCCGUCCAGGACCACACCAAAUCAGUCCAACACCCAUAUUGAGCUCAAAGAAUUAAUGUUGAAAAUGCCAACUAGUAAAUAAAAACUCUAUAGCUAUUUUGCUUGACUGGGAAUAAUUAAAAUAAAGGUAUUUUGUCCACUCCUUGAUUUGAUUAACAUAUAACUUGUAUUUGUUGAUAUUUUCUAACUUCAAACUUUAUUUGUUCAAUUUUUUGGUGCUCAUUGAUUUAUGUUCAGAUUUUUUUGUUGUUGCUGUUUUCCUUUUAGUAGUUAUAGAAUAUAUAUAGUAGUUUUAUAUAGAUUGCCCAUAAAUUUGAAUAAUUUUCUAUGUUGAAUUGUUGGUAAUGAACUUGAGGACAAGGAUACCAAAAGGAGAAGACUUGAUAUUCUUGAUUGAUGAUGUUGGAAAUAUUAUAUGUUAUUUUUUUCAAGUUUGUAGUCACUCACUGUGAUUGUCUAGUUACUCAUAGGCAAUUUAUGAGGGACAAUUUUUUUUACAGUUUUAAGACUUGGAUUUUGGAUGACUAAUAAACUUUGAAUGAUUUUUCUAUUUUCUUUAAUUUAGGUAUGAAUUUGUGACCA